AGGGUUGGACAUGCUGGUGGUAGGGAGGUGAAAGCCGACCGACUCUUCGGAGAGCCAGCACAGGUGCUGCAUGGCUGUCGUCAGCUAGUGCCGUGAGGUGUUAGGUUAAGUCCUGUAACGAGCGCAACCCACGUCGUUAGUUACAAGUGUCUAGCGAGACUGCCGGUGAUAAGCCGGAGGAAGGUGUGGAUGACGUCAAGUCAGCAUGGCCUUUAUAUCCUGGGCUACACACACGCUACAAUGGCCGGUACAAUGGGUCGCCAAGCCGCGAGGCGGAGCCAAUCCCGCAAAGCCGGUCACAGUUCGGAUUGCAGGCUGCAACUCGCCUGCAUGAAGUCGGAGUUGCUAGUAACCGCAGGUCAGCAACACUGCGGUGAAUACGUUCCCGGGCC
rnacentral:rRNA from 1 species